UUUAGUCCUGGUUCAAAAACCGGGACUAAAGGGCCUUACCAACCGGGACUAAAGCCCCUUUUUCUACUAGUGACAGAAUCGUAGAUCCAUAUAGUGUGUUGGGACAUCUCUAGCAAGCUGGACGUCGUGGCACGCUAGUAUCCUCACAGCCAUGUUAAAACAACCAGCAUCCAUGUACUCAUCAUUCUUUAAUAUGUUCUUUAAUUGUCUCAAGUUCAAACUAAUAGGAUAAGGUUGAGAGCUUUUCACCCAUUCGCUCCUGUGAAAUGGGAAUUCUAUCAAUUAUAAUUAUACAAGAGUAAUAAUUUAUUAUAAACAAAAAUGAAUUGGAAAAAUGUGUCUUACUCUAGCAAAGGGAUAUCAUCAACCAUGAUGAUGAACAAGCAAAGUUCAUCCAUUAAGUCGUCGUUUGUUGGAGUGACAAACGGCGGAAGGAUAAAUGAUUGCGAGAUGAGCUCAACUUGUGAUGAUGAGUUGGAUGCUUUGGGUUUGUUAGGAGGUCUUUCGAUGAUCAUACAAUCGGUGGGAUCCGUGUUGGUUUCAUCAUCAUCCAAGUCUUGGUUUCUUAUAUCAUCAUCAUUGAAUUCAGAGUCGACUAAAAUGACAGCUAAUUUUGUUUUAAAAUCUGUCAUAUGAACCUAAAGUGAAGUAGUAACAAGACUUAAUUUUCAAAUAAUGAUACAACACAAAAUAAUUAGUAUCAUGAUACGAUGCAAAAUAUACCUGUUCGGGAGUGUCAGACAGACUAUCUCCCGUGAAGUACUCCAUGAAAUUUAACAUCCACAGACCACAAGAUGACCUGGAUGAUUACAAAAAUUAGAUAUGAUUAAUAACAAAAAUAUUAUAUUAAUAAAAAAAUAUUAGUAUUAUAAAAUGAUGUUGACCGAAUCACAAGUCAUAGCAGACACGCUCGAUUAAAAAGGAAUUGAACAACGUUUGCCGCUAAUUUAAAUCAAAUGACCAAAAGGACUAUCAAUAAAAUAAUUGAAUUUGUCAAUGCAUAUUUUUUUAUUAUAAAUCAAUUGAACAAAAAGGCUAUGAAUAAAAAUUGAAUUUGUCAACGCAGAAUUUCUUUGAGAGGAACUCAUAUAAUUAUUACUUCACCAAAUGGGUUGUGGAUCAUAAAUAUUAAAAAUAAAACAAAAGGCACACGGCCGAUGAUCCAUUUGAUCGAUGAUAUGUUUAAUCUGAACGACAUAAUUAGGCCACACAAAAGAAACCAGAGGUUGGAUUGCAAAAGAAAAGAGAGCAACCAGAGGUACACUAAUAAGGAGCUGCCACAAAUGAGGAGCAGCCGGUGAAAAGAAAAAGAGGGCAGCCGGUGCUAAGUAUCUCAGUCUCUCACCACACACUAAUGAGGAGCAGUCGCUUUCUCACAACAGGAUGUGUGUGUGUGUGGUGAGACGGUGAGAGACAGUCACUUUGCUUUCUCCGCCGCACGCCGCCGGCCGCCUUCUUUGGAGCAGGGCGCACGCCGCCGGCCGCCUUCUCUGGAGCAGGGCGCAUCCUCUCCGGCCACGACGUCUUCUGGCGCCCCCUCCCCGCACCACCACCACCACCACGGCCUCGCCCCGUCUCCUAUCCCCAUGACGGCCUUGCCUCGCCGGCUCUUAUCCCCACCACGGCCUCGCCCCGCCGCCUCCUCUCACCACCGCGGACUUGCCUCGCCGCCAACCCCAUGGAUCUUCCCUACAUCGACUCUGCCGCCACCAUCAUACAGCCGCAGAGCAGAUCGAGAUGCGAGCUGCUGGACACGAUGCAUGCAGGAGUAGGCAUCUUGAAUUGGACCGAGAUCCAGUGCGUCGACCUCACACAGUCGCUCCGGGAAGGAGUUCGCAGCCUACACUCGGUUGCUGAAGGCACCUUCGCCACAUUGUCAUCCAUUUGUGAGAUGUUUCUGUUUCUCCAUGUUGGCAUGGAUGCAUUGGAUAUAGAGUAGUGGAAGAUUGUUAGCGGAACACAUAUACAGCAUGGACAGUAGUACCGGAUCUGGAUGGAGAUUGACUCGCAUGUGGCACCGGUGACGGAGGCGCAGACAUGGAUGAAGACGGUGCUUCACCAAGGGCAGAUGUGUGCGGCUCAGUGGAGAGACUUGUUGUGGAGGUAUGUUGGGAUGCGGCUGAGAGAUCACGAGGGAGGAUGGAGGAGAGGUGAAAGUAAUGGUAUCAGGCAAUAUAAGGCAGAAUCGUGAGAGAAAGGAAACUACUAUCGCGAUAAUUGGGGACUCCUGAUUGCUAUCAUCCCCGGAUUUAUCUGAGGCCCCAGAAUCUUAUCUUGUGCUUUUUUAUACUCACACAAAAUAUUGGAGUUAUUUUCGUGGUACAAUUUAUAUGCAUAAAUAGUGGGUUUGGCCCACCUUCCUUCUGUAACUGUGGGCUUAAUUCAGAAAAGGCACACCCUUUUAAUAUUUGAGAAACUAAUUUUUUCUGUUUGAUUUGAAAUUCAGCUGAUGUAUGGUGGUUGCCUUCUUGUACAUGAGCUUACGACUGCGGGAGAUCAUGACUUGUUCUUUUGAUUUUUUUGGUUCAUCACAUGAUCCAUCAAGCCAGCCAAGGCGGAGAUCAGUGAAGAGGUGAAGUAGAAAAUGGAAUCGGAAUAGGAGGCAUAUCUUCAACUGGUUUGAUGCAUGUUGGAAGAGGCUUGAAGUGGCGGUCGUAACACAGUCAGUUGGGACGACUCAUUGGCAGAGUUGAUAUUAUUAACAUUUUCAUUGUUAGAGACGACAGUAUCUGGUGUUGUUAGUGAACAUGGACCAUGAAGUGGAGUCUGAUCACUCAUUACCACAUCAACAGGUCCUGAAAGGGAUUACGUACCCCACUACGCUGAGAUCCGGGCAUAUUGUCUUCUCAAUGAACACUUACUGACCCGUGCCUCAACUCAGUUUGCUAUGCAAAUCAUGAUGUACUGUACGGAAGUAGUCAGAUGUCUUGGAGAUCUGCUCGCCACCGGGGUGAUGACACCGGAUGUAAGGCAGCGCGCCGGGUCGAGGACGUCGCAGACACCGGGGAGAGGGCGGCGUGGCGACGACGGCGUAUUGAGGAGAGUUAGGGCUGCAAGGCGGGUCGAGGGCGUCGUGUCGUCGCGGAGAACAGGGGCAAGGGUCGCGUGGCGAGGGCGGCCGGGCGGGGCGGAGCGAGGACGGCGGGGCGGCGUGCCGACGCGAGGUUCGUGGCGUGGUGGUGGCGUUGAUCGCGGAGAUAAUGUUUAUUCGCUGGAUGGAGGUGUCAUCGUUAGGAUGUGUAGGAGCCUGGACGUGGGAGUCUGCCGGCAGAACAUUUGAUUAGAACCGUUGAUCUGGUUGUAGUAUGUUUGAUAAAACGUGGACAGUUGCAUGAUAGUAAGUGGGUCUGAUCGGACGUCUAGGGUUAUCCUGUGUGCACUUUGUCGUGUGGAUGUAGGGGAAGUCACAUUUGGUCUUUUAAUAGUAGUAUAGAUAUAGAUAUAGAUAUAGAAGUAUAGAUAUAGAUAGUCGCCGCGCCCCAUUCCCCAUUGCUUCCCCAUCGCCGGUGAACCAGCCGCGGCGGGCGCCUGACGUUUGAGUACUGCGAGCUGCGCAGCGCGGCCGUGCAACCCUGCUUCCUCAGCGUUGGAGUUAGUGCUGCCACAGCCAGCGAUGAGCUUUUGGUGCUGCAAUCAGUUGCGCCCUUCGACGAUGGAGUUGUAUCUGUGCACGCCGGAGCUGCCACCGGCGUUUUUGGGAGCUGCAAGGUCAACGACGACGAGCAAGGGCGGCGGCACCGUGCUAUCAUGGGCGGUGACCUCGUGUCUCUCCGGCGCAAGCACAACAGGCUACCUGAUUAGUCUAAGUCACUGGCUAGCUAGUUUGUUGCUUUGGCAAUUGUACGUAGAUUCAUGCAAGCAGAAACGCAUCGGUCUAGGGGCGUGUUUGGUUGCCUGGGUGGCUUUCAGCUGCAUUGCAUGGAGGAUCCAGGCUGAGCAUGGCCAGGCUAAGGCGAUGCAAAGUUGCGUCGUGAUGUAUGUUUGGUGAACUUCCAUCAUAUGGCUGCAUGCGGUGCUGUUUUUGUCUGAAUGUCACUGAAAUUGAUGUGGAAA